AGUCUGCAACUCGACUCCAUGAAGUCGGAAUCGCUAGUAAUCGUGGAUCAGAAUGCCACGGUGAAUACGUUCCCGGGCCUUGUACACACCGCCCGUCACACCAUGGGAGUGGGUUGCAAAAGAAGUAGGUAGCUUAACCUUCGGGAGGGCGCUUACCACUUUGUGAUUCA
rnacentral:rRNA from 1 species